AUCCCUGUAGUGCAAUGGAUAGUGCCUUGGAAUUGUAAUCCAAAGGUCGUGUGUUUGAAUCCCACCUGGGAUG